UAUUGGCUCACUAUCGUCAGCGCGGUGUCUAGAGAUGCGGAAUUAAAUUCUUCGUCGGGUUGUAUUUGUUUGUUGCAGGAAUUCGGUCGGCAACCCGCUAAGGUGGACUAAGACGACAACUGGACUAAAAUACCCAGAACUGUCCAAGAAAUUGAAGAUUGGAUUGCCGGUGUUGAUGAUGAUUCCAAAUGCGAUUGAAAGAAUUUACAAUGAAGCUGUUAUUGAUAUCAUUUUUGUUUAUUAUGUUAAAAAUUGUAAAAAGAGCAUUGUAUAAUUACAUGUAUAUAUUGAGAAAUUGA